rnacentral:rRNA from 1 species
UACGUAGGGUGCAAGCGUUAAUCGGAAUGACUGGGCGUAAAGGGUGUGUAGGUGGCAGAGUAAGUAAAUAGUGAAAGCGUGUGGCUCAACCAUACUCACAUUAUUUAAACUGCUCAGCUUGAAGAUGAGAGAGGUCACUGGAAUUCCAAGUGUAGGAGUGAAAUCCGUAGAUAUUUGGAGGAACACCGAUGGCGUAGGCAGGUGACUGGCUCAUUCUUGACACUAAGGCACGAAAGCGUGGGGAGCAAACGGG